UACGUAGGGUGCAAGCGUUGUCCGGAAUCAUUGGGCGUAAAGCGCGUGUAGGCGGCUCGGUAAGUCUGCUGUGAAAGUCCAGGGCUCAACCCUGGGAUGCCGGUGGAUACUGUCGAGCUCGAGUCCGGAAGAGGCGAGUGGAAUGCCUGGUGUAGCGGUGAAAUGCGCAGAUAUCAGGAGGAACACCGAUGGCGAAGGCAGCUCGCUGGGACGUGACUGACGCUGAGACGCGAAAGCGUGGGGAGCAAACAGG
rnacentral:rRNA from 1 species